AUUGAACGCUGGCGGCAGGCCUAACACAUGCAAGUCGAACGAGUGGCGGACGGGUGAGUAAUGUCUGGGAACCUGCCUGAUGGAUGGGGCUAACUACUGGAAACGGUAGCUAAUACCGCAUACCAUCAGAUGUGCCCAAAUGGGAUUAGCUAGUAGGGGGGGUAAUGGCUCACCGAGGAAACGAUCCCUAGCUGGUCUGAGAGGAUGACCAGCCACACUGGAACUGAGACACGGUCCAGACGCCUACGGUAGGCAGCAGUGGGGAAUAUGGCACAAUGGGAGCAAGCCUGAUGCAGCCAUGCCGCGUGUAGGAAGAAGGCAUUCGGGUUGUAAAGUACUUUCAGCGAGGAGGCGUUACUCGCAGAAGAAGCACCGGCUAACUCCGUGCCAGCAGCCGCGGUAAUUC
rnacentral:rRNA from 1 species